AAACCAACAGGGAUUGCCUCAGUAGCGGCGAGUGAAGCGGCAAGAGCUCAGAUUUGAAAUCUCACCUAGUGUGCGAGUUGUAAAUUGCAGGUUGGAGUCUCGGGUUAGACGUGUGUGCAAGUCCCUUGGAACAGGGCGCCACUGAGGGUGAGAGCCCCGUAGCGUGCAUGUCGACACCUGUGAGGCCCUUCUGACGAGUCGAGUUGUUUGGGAAUGCAGCUCUAAGUGGGUGGUAAAUUCCAUCUAAGGCUAAAUAUUGGCGAGAGACCGAUAGCGAACAAGUACUGUGAAGAAAGGAUGAAAAGCACUUUGAAAAGAGAGUGAAACAGCACGUGAAAUUGUUGAAAGGGAAGGGUAUUGCGCCCGACAUGGGGAUUGCGCACCGCUGCCUCUCGUGGGCGGCGCUCUGGGCUUUCCCUGGGCCAGCAUCGGUUCUUGCUGCAGGAGAAGGGGUUCUGGAACGUGGCUCUUCGGAGUGUUAUAGCCA
rnacentral:rRNA from 1 species